rnacentral:rRNA from 1 species
GAUGAACGCUGGCGGCGUGCUUAACACAUGCAAGUCGAACGAUGAAGCCCAGCUUGCUGGGUGGAUUAGUGGCGAACGGGUGAGUAACACGUGAGUAACCUGCCCUUGACUCUGGGAUAAGCCUGGGAAACUGGGUCUAAUACUGGAUAUGACUUCUCAUCGCAUGGUGGGGGGUGGAAAGAUUUAUUGGUCUUGGAUGGACUCGCGGCCUAUCAGCUUGUUGGUGAGGUAAUGGCUCACCAAGGCGACGACGGGUAGCCGGCCUGAGAGGGUGACCGGCCACACUGGGACUGAGACACGGCACAGACUCCUACGGGAGGCAGCAGUGGGGAAUAUUGCACAAUGGGCGCAAGCCUGAUGCAGCGACGCCGCGUGAGGGAUGACGGCCUUCGGGUUGUAAACCUCUUUCAGUAGGGAAGAAGCGAGAGUGACGGUACCUGCAGAAGAAGCGCCGGCUAACUACGUG